GUUGAUACAAACUAGAGCAGUAAGUGGACUUUCCACUGCCGGCAGGGCCAAUAACUAACUGUGCAUAGCCCAUGACCACUUCCUUUUUUUGUUCCUUGUACACGUGGCCAAGAGAUCAACUGAAGACACAGGUUCUAAGAAAAUUGAAAAUCUGAAAGACGCCAAGAACUGCAACUAACAUGUAUGUUGCACACCACACACCAGCCGCGAACAAGAAGCUUAGUGCAUCAGCGUGACCCAUAAGCAUAAUCACGAGAAAAGAAACAUCAUAAUAUCACCUGAACUACCCAUUAAUAGAGUCAAAAAGAAAAAAAAAAGUUUGGUUGAAAACGGCUAAAAAGAAUACUCACAUAACAGCCCCUGCAAGCUUGUUAUGCUUUAGCACAGCACAGAAACUGAGGGCUGAUUGUUGGUAUGUGAGGGAAGGGGAAGAAGAUUGUACAAGGUAAAGAAAAUAGAGUUUG
rnacentral:misc_RNA from 1 species